AUGGAUUCCCCUUCCUCUUCUAUCCUCAAUUUUCUGUCUAAGGAAGAGGAGAAUCGCCCUAAAGAGCCUGCCUAUAUCGGAGGAGUCUCCGGUACUGAUUUCCUUGUUUUCGCUUCUGGGCUUAACCAAGCCAGGGCGAAUAAGGGAUGCAUUCAUUUUCAUUGUGAGUGUAAACCCUUAAGAGCCGUCGGCCAUAAGACUUUGGGCAUCAAGAGUGCUCCAGUAGCAUUGGUGGAACAAUCGAAAGACCAUUAUGAGGAUUGGGAAAAACCUACAUAUGGAAGAUGA